CCUACGGGAGGCAGCAGUGAGGAAUAUUGGUCAAUGGGCGCGAGCCUGAACCAGCCAAGUCGCGUGAGGGAAGACGGUCCUAUGGAUUGUAAACCUCUUUUGUCGGGGAGCAAAAGACGCCGCGCGUGGCGUUACGAGAGUACCCGAAGAAAAAGCAUCGGCUAACUCCGUGCCAGCAGCCGCGGUAAUACGGAGGAUGCGCGGGUUAUCCGGAUUGAUUGGGUUAAAAGGGUGCGCAGGCGGAAGAUCAAGUCGGCGGGAAAAUUGAGAGGCUCAACCUCUUCGAGCCGUUGAAACUGGUUUUCUUGAGUGAGUGAGAGGUAUGCGGAAUGCGUGGUGUAGCGGUGAAAUGCAUAGAUAUCACGCAGAACUCCGAUUGCGAAGGCAGCAUACCGGCGCUCAACUGACGCUCAUGCACGAAAGUGUGGGUAUCGAACAGGAUUAGAUACCCCAGUAGUC
rnacentral:rRNA from 1 species